rnacentral:tRNA from 1 species
GGAGUUGUGACUCAUUUGGUAAAGUGCAUGUCUUGUACACAUGAAGAUCUGGGUUCAAUCCCCAGUCCA